AGUUCUCGGUUAAUCUGUACGCUCAACGUACAGGCUGCCGGGAAUACUGCAGAGCUAGGGAGUGGGAGAGGUAGACGGUACUCGGUAGGAAGGGGUAAAAUCCUUUGAUCUAUUGAUGACCACCUGUGGCGAAGGCGGUCUACCAGAACACGUCCGACGGUGAGGGAUGAAAGCUGGGGGAGCAAACCGGAUUAGAUACCCGGGUAGUCCCAGCUGUAAACUAUGCAAACUCAGUGAUGCAUUGGCUUGUGGCCAAUGCAGUGCUGCAGGGAAGCCGUUAAGUUUGCCGCCUGGGAAGUACGUACGCAAGUAUGAAACUUAAAGGAAUUGGCGGGGGAGCACCACAAGGGGUGAAGCCUGCGGUUCAAUUGGAGUCAACGCCAGAAAUCUUACCCGGAGAGACAGCAGAAUGAAGGUCAAGCUGAAGACUUUACCAGACAAGCUGAGAGGUGGUGCAUGGCCGUCGCCAGCUCGUGCCGUGAGAUGUCCUGUUAAGUCAGGUAACGAGCGAGAUCCCUGCCUCUAGUUGCCACCAUUACUCUCAGGAGUAGUGGGGCGAAUUAGCGGGACCGCCGCAGUUUAUGCGGAGGAAGGAAGGGGCCACGGCAGGUCAGUAUGCCCCGAAACUCUGGGGCCACACGCGGGCUGCAAUGGUAAUGACAAUUGGUUCCGAAUCCGAAAGGAGGAGGUAAUCCUCAAACAUUACCACAGUUAUGACUGAGGGCUGCAACUCGCCCUCACGAAUAUGGAAUCCCUAGUAACUGCGUGUCAUUAUCGCGCGGUGAAUACGUCCCUGCUCCUUGCAC
rnacentral:rRNA from 1 species